GCAGACAGUUAAGUGUUUCAUAUAGCUGCAUCUUACAACCUGCUUUCACAUUUAAGCAUAAUUGUGCUAAUUUUGUUUGUUUUCCACCCUGUAGAUCCGGUAUAUCACAGCCAUCCCUCAGAGCCCUAAUGCCCAGCGUUUUGAAUGGCAUCAUACAUAUGGGCAGUCGAUACAUAAGGUUUCCCUACACAGUGGAAGAACAGGCCGAGAUUAAAAGGCAAUUUGCAGCAAUGUCCGAUUUCCCAAACGUAAUCGGCGCAAUUGACUGCACUCAUAUUGCUAUAAGGGCUCCAUCUGAACAUGAGUUCGCUUACGUCAACCGCAAGCACGUGCACACUAUUAAUGUUCAAGUUGUAUGUGAUGCCCAUAUGAACUUCACAAACAUAGUGGCACGUUGGCCUGGUGCAACACAUGAUUCAUUUAUUCUGACGCACAGUAGUGUAGGGAACAGACUACAGGCAGGCGCGGGGCGGGAUGGCUGGCUUCUAGGGGACAGUGGAUACCCCCUGAGACGCUGGCUCCUCACCCCAGUUUUGAACGCGCAAAGCGCCGAGGAACAACGUUAUAAUGAGGUCCAUGGCCGUGCUCGUUCAGUGGUGGAGCGCGCCAUCGGCCUCCUGAAGUGCCGGUGGCGCGCUCUGGAUGCGUCGGGGGGGAGGCUUUUAUACCAGCCUGCCAAAGUGUGCCACAUUAUAAGGGCUUGCGGCGUGCUGCACAAUUUGUCCCAGAGGAACGGCAUCCCUCUCCCCCCCGACCUCCCUCCCCCCGAGCUUGACCCGGAGACCCAGCCCCCUCCGAGGCAAGUCGGAUUUCAACAGGGUGCAAGAGUACGUGCGGAUGUCAUGCGGCGUUUAUGAGAUGAAGACGACUCAAGCUGCAGAACUUCGUCUGUGAGGACCCGACCAGCGGACUGACGCUUGGUGCUGGGGGUUGGGGCAGCCGGAUGACCUGCGGCCGAGGGCCCCUCGCCGGCAUCAUCUUCCUCCUCCCCACCGACCGCUGACUCUGGAGGACGCACAAGCAAAAUAGCUUGCACUAGGCCUACAUGAUCGAUAAUAAAUCUAUAAAAAACAGAAAUCAGCUUUACCUUGUUCUUCUGUGUUGUCAGUGUCCCCUUCCCUUUCGGACACGAUGCCACUCACGCUUGCGGUGCCAAUGAUGGAUGCAACUUGCCUGUCAAUCGGGGUUAGGUCAGGAGUACUGGGUCCCCCUCCAGUUGCAGUCACGCUCUGGCGUUGCGAGGACAGCCUCUGCUUUGCACCCACCUGUAAUUAACGAUCUUCACUAUACGACCAGUUACAUUUGAGCAAUUAAUUAUAAACGUGCUGUGCGUGAGGAAAUAAAAAUGUACCUUUAUGUCGGACCACUUCUUUUUCAAUUCGGGUACUGUCCGCUCCGUACCACUGACAGCGUUCACUGCCGCAGCAACAUGUUGCCACUCAUUCUUUUUUUUAAUAUUGGUGAUCCCGAUUCCGUGACCGCCGAACAAAAUUUAUUUUCGGGCCUCCACCUCACCCACAAGUGUCUCCACCUCAACCUCCGUGAAGUUUCUUUUUUUGGUUUUUCUCUGUCCUGCCAUUGUCUCCAAGUUCCAACAAGACAUAAUACCGGCACCUGAGUCUGUUUUAUAUGCAGAUCGCAUUCAUGAGGUCAUUUGCAUUGACCAUUUAUGGUUAAAAAGGGGCGUGUAGAGGGCAGAACGUGAAGCUGAUUCAGCUGCGCACAAUUGUAGUCAGUAUGUGAUUUAUAAAGCAACGAUUGCGUACAGGUGUGCGUACGCAGUGUUUUAUAAAUCCGAAUAUUUUUUGGCGCACGCAAAACUUGGCUUCUGGGCGUACGCACAUUUUUAGUAACGAUCCCACGCACAGUUUUAUAAAUGAGACCCCUGGUCUUUACAAU